ensembl:lncRNA
CCCCCUCCUUGUUAGAUUCUUAAACAAUGGUCUCUCUUUCAUGCUAGGUCAGAAACCUAGGUGGGUAUGCUACUACUGUGCACGGUGUUAGGCAAUCCAAAAACUCUGUCAGCAGGUCUUUAACAACUCAGUGGUAUUCUCAGUCAGGGUGAGAAAUACUUUUGUGUCAACACAGACCAACACAUAUGAACUCACUCGAUCCCUACAUCUGAGUGCCCCCUGAAGGCACUGUUGACUCUAGUAAAAGACAGGCCAGAGGUUCCCUUCAUCCCAAGUGAGUCCUGAUGACUAGAUCUUCAGCUGGCCUUCACAGAAAAAAAAUAAAAUAAAAAGCAAAGCUAGGGAGACAUCUUUUCAGUCUUUUUUUUUUUUUUUUUUGACAAGGUUUCUCUGUGUAGCCCUGACUGUCCUGGAACUCACUCUGUAGACCAGGCUGGCCUUUAAUGCAUAGAGAUCUGCCUGCCUUGCCUACCUCUGCCUCCCGAGUUCUGGGAAUAAAGGUAUGUGCUACUGCACCUGGUCCCAAACAUGAGAAGGAGAGGAAAAGGAAGAGGAAGAAGUAGAAGAGAAAGAAGAGGAAGAAGUAGAAGAAAAAAGAGGAAGAAGAAGAGAGGUGAGGAGGAGGAGAUGAUAAAGAAGAAACCCACCAAGGAUAUAAAGUUGGCAUCCCACAAAGUGGAUGGUUCACACAGUGCAGAUUUAUUUCUCACACUUUUUUGAGGUUUGUACAAAAUCAAGACACCAUCCAUGUGGUUUCUACCCUUGCCUACAAUGUGUGACACCCUGGGACUCAUCCUCAACGGGACAGGAAAAGACAGAACAAACCCAAUGGCUUCUCCUCAGGCUCACUCCUUGGCCUGCAGGAGAUUGCCUUCUGACUGUUGGAAUGGUCUCUUCUAUCUGCCCAGAAGAUGCUAAUGCUUCUUCCCCUUCCUCCUCUUCACAGCAGGCUCUACAGGGGCAGCUCAGCCUCUCCUCAGUGCUGGGAUUAUAAUUGUGAAUCUACACCUAGCUCUUUCUCACUUGCUGCUCAAGCCACACCAUGCAAAACACCCCUGCCCUGAUUUCUCACUUCCUCAAAUAUACGCUGUUAUAUCCAGAGGCAGUGAAGAGAGAGACCUGCUUCAUUGGAGACAGAUGUUGAAAACACAGCUGCCCCUACAUCAAGACGGACUGCAGACUUCACCCUGACAAGGGAGACAGGAUCUCUGCAAGAACAAUAUAGACUUUUAACCACUAAGCCAUUUUAUUUUAGCUCAUAGGAUUUGUGUGUGUGUGUGUGUGUGUGUGUGUGUGUGUGUGUGUGUGUGUGUGUGUGUGUAGGGGUAUUUGUUUGUUUGUUUCUUUUUUUUAAGAUUUAUUUAUUUAUUAUUUUAUGUAUGUGAGUACACUGUCCUCAGACACACCAGAAGAGGGCAUUGAAUCCCAUUACAGAUGGUUGUGAGCCACCAUGUGGUUGCUGGGAAUUGAACUCAGGACCUCUGGAAGAGCAGUCAGUGCUCUUAACCUCUGAGCCAUCUCUCCAGCCCCCUGUUUGUUUGUUUCUUGAAACAAAGUCUCUCUGUGUAGCCCUGGCUGGCCUGAACUCAAGACCAGACUGGCUUUGAACUGUCAGAGAUCCAUCUGCCUUUGCCUCCCAAGUGCUGGGACCACCUCCACCACUCAGCAGCUUUUUUUCUUAAACACCAUCUUAUGCAGCCAAGUCUUGAACCUCACUAGUAGCCAAGGACGAAUCUUGAGCUUCUGAUCCUCGUGGCUUAACCUCUCUAGUGCUGAGGCCAUAGGUACUCACACCACACCUGGUUUUCUGCUGUGCAGGGGGAUAGACCCUAGAACUUUGUGAUUCUAGAAAAGCCCUUCACAAGUGCUGGAAUUAGACAUGAGUUACUAACCACACUCUGGGAUUACCUCAGAAUUUUAGCAUGUGAAUUAUUUUGUCUGUGACACACUUGCUAAAGAUCAUUUUCCUUGUCUCCUCUCACCCAGUUCCCUCUCUGUAGAAGCAGACCUAUCAGAUUGAGAGCAAGGGUCACACAUCUAGUCCAUACCUCUCUUGCUGUCUUGUUCUCCCCUGCCAUGUGGCUCCCGAUGGCUUAAUACUCAUUAUGUAGCCUAGCUGGCCUUGAACUUUCUGCAGUCCUGCCUUAGCCUGUCAAACACUCAUAAUCCUUUUUAAAACAAAUAUGAUCUGGGACCAGAGUGAUGACUUAGCUAAGAGCAUUGGCUGUUCUUCCAGGCUUGGUCGUGGCAUGCACAGAGUCACAGCUGAAAGUCACAGCUGUCCUCUGUGAUCCUGAGACCCUCUUCUGAUCUCUGUUGGCACCAGGUGUGCAUGUGGCACAGACAGAUGUGCAGGUGUGGUGUGUGCACAAGCGCGUAUGGAGGAAGGAGUUGACAUCUGAUGUCUCCCUCCAUCACUUUUCACUUCAUUUUUUCCCACUCCAACCCCAGAUUUUACAUGGUUACAGAGAUCCAAAUUCAGAUUUUCAUGCUUGCACAGCAGGCAAUGACUCCCCAGAAUAACCACUGUGGGCACUAUUCCCCGGAGAGGUUGGGAUCCAUGUCCACUCUCCUGAGACACACAGCUGACAAUAAUCCAACCUCAUGGAACAGUGAGUUUUGUUGGGUGGUUACUUAGAGGAGCAGAAAUGAUUUAAAGACAGCUGCAUCAUCAAAGGAGAUCCCAGCAAGGGUGACAGCUCACAAAGCUGGGGACUGCACAGUCUGCAGGCAGCUCAACAGGUUGGAAGGUGACUUUCCCAUGGCUCAGCUGGUGUAACAUUCUUCCAGACUGCUUGGUCAGAGUCUCUUCCAAGCAGCUUGGCUUCUCUGAAAGUCUUCUAGGCAGCUUGGUUGGUCUCUACAUCUUUAGUUGACUCAGCUUCCUUGAGUCUUUGGGCAGCCUCAGUUUGCCUGAGAGUAACUCCUAACAGUCUUUACCGCUAUAUUGUUGGGAAGGGAGAGACCUAGUGGAUUUAAUCAAUUUCAGGGACUUCCUAAAGCUAUUUUGGCUUGUUUACUUCCUGUCUUUUUUUUUUUCUUUUUUUCGGAGCUGGGGACCGAACCCAGGGCCUUGCGCUUGCUAGGCAAGCGCUCUACCACUGAGCUAAAUCCCCAAGCCCUAAAAUAUUUUAAAAAAGAUUUAUUUAUUUAUUUAUUUUAUGUCUAUAAGUAGACUGUCACUGUCUUCAGACACACCAGAAGAGGGCAUCUGAUCCUGAGAGAUAGAGUUUUAAAUUAGCCCAAAACUCAACAACAGGACCUGUCUCUGGAAGACAGAUUGUUAAAAAUGCAAGAGAACUACUUUGCUUAUCACCCAGUGUGAGUGACUGUUCUUUGCUCUGCCCCUGUGAUGUUUAUUUAAGCCCCUACUUGUGCUUUCCAACCAUUGCAUCCUGCAGAGAGCACUCCAGGAACCAGGGGGCCAUAAAACCUUCUGGGCCCCCUAAUCUCCUGGAGCCAUAAAACAAUCCUGUGACUUGGGUGCCUUCCCCUUUGACACCCCCAAUCCCCUGGGCUCACAGCCUCUGCCUUUAAAUACUCUUUCUCCCAGCCUCUCGGGCCGGGCCGAUGCCUCUGUCUCCUGCGUGAGAUAUGUGUCGGCCCGGAGAUCUCUAUAAUAGGUCUCCAUAAUAAACCUCGCCUUUGCUUAUUACAUCCAAAAUGGUCUUUCUGUGUCUGGGGUCUGCGAUUUCCCAAGACUUGAGUAAGGGUCUCUCUGCGUGGGAUCUUUCAGUUGAUUCAGCUCCUCAUGAG